UACGUAGGGGGCAAGCGUUGUCCGGAUUCAUUGGGCGUAAAGAGCGUGUAGGCGGCCAGGUAGGUCGGUUGUGAAAACUGGAGGCUCAACCUUCAGAGGUCGACCGAAACCAUCUGGCUAGAGUCCGGGAGAGGAGAGUGGAAUUCCUGGUGUAGCGGUGAAAUGCGCAGAUAUCAGGAAGAACACCCGUGGCGAAAGCGGCUCUCUGGACAGUUCCUGACGCUGAGGCACGAAGGUCAGGGGAGCAAACGGG
rnacentral:rRNA from 1 species